GCCCUGAGUGAUGGGCUCCGAAGCUAACGCGAUAAAUCGACCGCCUGGGGAGUACGGCCGCAAGGUUAAAACUCAAAUGAAUUGACGGGGGCCCGCACAAGCGGUGGAGCAUGUGGUUUAAUUCGAUGCAACGCGAAGAACCUUACCUGGUCUUGACAUCCACAGAAUCUUGCAGAGAUGCGAGAGUGCCUUCGGGAACUGUGAGACAGGUGCUGCAUGGCUGUCGUCAGCUCGUGUUGUGAAAUGUUGGGUUAAGUCCCGCAACGAGCGCAACCCUUAUCCUUUGUUGCCAGCGAUUCGGUCGGGAACUCAAAGGAGACUGCCGUUGAUAAAGCGGAGGAAGGUGGGGACGACGUCAAGUCAUCAUGGCCCUUACGNCCAGGGCUACACACGUGCUACAAUGGCGUAUACAAAGGGAGGCGACCUCGCGAGAGCAAGCGGACCUCAUAAAGUACGUCUAAGUCCGGAUUGGAGUCUGCAACUCGACUCCAUGAAGUCGGAAUCGCUAGUAAUCGUGAAUCAGAAUGUCACGGUGAAUACGUUCCCGGGCCU
rnacentral:rRNA from 1 species